ensembl:lncRNA
UGGAUUCCUAUGUAAUCGACACUUACAUUCUGAGCUAAUGCAUAGCUGUAACCUUAAAUUACGUACUCCUCCACAUCCCUGACCCAGAGUAACAUGUCUGUGUGUCCUAAUAAUCAUUUACUGAAUACAGCAAAAAUAGAGAUCGGAAGCAAUCUUAUAAAAUGAAUAUUCCCCAUAAAUGUUGUACACAGUAUUUGGGUAAUGCUUGAUAAACAGUGAUGUUUAUAGUACAGUUUGUUUUCUGGGUCAGUUGGAGUCUGUGACUUAAUCUCUUAUAAAACUGUUAGAGGUUUCAAUAAAGAGUACAAUUCCUUCCCCAUGGGAUGUUUCCUGUGAUGUUCCACAAAGACAGAGCAAAGCCCUUGGCUGGGACGGACACAUCCACAGACUUAGACACAGAUUCACAGCUUUCAGGAAGGCACAGAUUCAAAUAAGGGACAGACAGAAAGGCGGAAGACAGGGAACAGGAGUGGAGAACACACAUCUGGACUUGCUCUUCACUAAAGACACCAAGAGGAAGUAUUAUGGGGUUUGUGACCCCUGGGAGAAGAGCAUACAGUCUAUGGCAUAGAGUCAAUCCAAUUACAAUUGAACGGCUUAUUGACUAGCUGCCAGCAGGACGAACAAUCUCUGAGCCAAAUUCUAGAUUGCCGUGAGAAGGGAAUUGAAGGAAGAAUUUUUAAAGGCCUUCACUGUCUAUGAAAACAAGCAAAAACUGGUCUGUUCUACCAGGUUAAGUGGUUAAGGCGACCUGAAACAAUCUUUGGGUAUCUGCGUAAGAAAGUUGUAGAAGCAAAACAGCAGUUGGUCAUGACAAGUGGAUAGUCGGAGCUGCACACUUUGGGGUACAGCUCAUUCAGCCAGGGUAACUGGAAACCCAUCUUACAGGGCCCAGAGUCACAGACAAAUGGCUAGUGAUUACCAAAAUGGAUCCCUAGCAUAAAACGCAGUUUCUUCAGCAUCACAGAAGUACUGAGAGCACUUUUGUUUCAUUUUGCUUUUAGUCAAUGCAUUCAAACCAGCCGCAAAGCAAGGUUUCUUUGUUAAUUUUUCUUUAUUCUUGAGAAUUUCCUACAUGAUUAUAUCUAUACCCAUUCUCUCUCCAGUUUCCCCAAAUUACUUCCAAAAUGGCUGCUUUGAAUCUCAUGUCCUUUUGGUGAUGACCCAUUAAGUCCAAUUAGAGCUGCCCAUAUGUGCAUGGUUGCCAUUCACUGGAGCCUGGGAGAUCGACCAGUGGCCACAUAUGCUUUAAAAAGAGAAGAGGGGGCUAGAGAGAUGGCUCAGAGGUUAAGAACACUGUCUGCUCUUCCAGAGGUCCUGAGUUCAAUUCCCAGCAACCACAUGGUGGCUCACAACCAUCUGUAAUGAAAUCUGAUGCCCUCUUCUGGCCUGCAGGCAUACAUGCAGGCAGAAAGCUGAUGUAUACAUAAUAAAUACAAAAAAUAAAUAAAUAAAAUAAAAAUAAAAAGAGAAGAGAAGACAGAGAGACAGAGAGACAGAGACAGACAGAGACAUACGACUAGUAUCUUCUCUAGUAUCUAUCGACUGUCAAUAGCUGCUCAGUAAGGAGUGGGCCUGGACAGCACCUCCCAUCUAUGCCAGAAGAAAAGGGGCUUUCUAAACCCAAUUCUGCCUCAGAGCCUAGGCAGCUUCUUGUUAAAGUCAGAAUACAAUGAAAAGAGCCUUAGGAACUGUGGGUCUUGCUUCCAGCUCCUUUGCAACUGAGCCACGAGCGCAUCUGCUAUUCUCUUGUGCCUGCCCUGAAAGUCCUGCUCCUUGGUAAAGCAAAGACGGACAGACAGCUGGCCUUAGUGAACUAGAGGUAAGCGGGUCCUUUGGGUUUGCAAUGCCAUCCACGUUGACUGUUGUCCUCCACAGAAACUUUUCUAGCAUCCCACAGUGCUGCUUUGUGAGCCAGGAGCUGUGUCAUCUUGGAAGUCCAGUCACUUAGUCGCUGGGAUCUACUGAGCACGUGGUGUGAUGAGCAAACUGGAUACCAUUCUUGCCUCUGAGGAGAGUGAAGGACAGAGAGUGCACAGAGACAAAACAGCAUCCAGUUCAGCUGGGCGCAAGGACACCUCCUGCUUGAGUCCCUGUGUGACAAACAUGACUCUCUCCUUGACACAACCAUCUGGGUCACUAUCACAACCUCCACCAAUCACAAGCACCCAGCUGAUUAAAAUAAGACCCAGCCCCAGUCCUGUUGCCAAUGUGCUCAUGUACGCUGGUGCCCACGGUGGUCAGAACUGCGUAUCAGAUGCCUUGGAGCUGGGGUUGCAGGUAGCUGUGAGCCAACUGAUGUGGGUGCUCGAAAGGAAAGUUGGAAGUCGAGAGAAAGUUAGUAUUCUGCUAGCGGCCUUCAGAUGAAGAUGUAGAACUCUUAGCUCCUCCUGUACCAUGCCAGCCUGGGUACUGCCAUGGAUGAUAAUGGACUGAACCUCUGAACCUGUAAGCCAGCCCCAAUGAAUUGUUGUUCUUUAUAACACUUUAAAAAAAAAGAAAGUUGAGAGAAGCUUGGUUACAGGAUACUGUAAAGAGGUGUGUGUGUGUGUGUGUGUGUGUGUGUGUUUGUGUUAGAGAGAGAGAGAGAAAGGAAAGUUACAGUUAGAGUGAGGAGUAAGAAAUUUGUGCACAGAAGGUCAUCACAGAUAGCAAGGAUAUGCUUGUAUAUUCAUUCCUCCAACCAAGCCAGUUCAGUCAGUCACCAGGGACUCAAGAGAGUGAUCAAGGAUUGAGAAAAAAAAAAGACAGACAACAUUAUAGCAUGACUCCAGUCAGUGCUGAGGCUGAUACAGGUUUAUUUUCUCUAGUCUGCUUUUAUAUCAUUCUAAAUACAUUCAAAGAAUAAGGUCAGGAACAAAUAAGGCACUAAACAAAGCCCUGUGGUAUUCAGGAACAUAUCAGGAUGAUCAGGAUCUUGAGCUACAUCCUUGUCCUAGCCCAAUGCCAAAUUCCUACCAAAUUUCUAGAAGGCAGCCUCAAAAGCUCUCCACAUUCUGCAAAGCUAGAAGAGAGUCAGAGUUUUCCCCCAAACCCCCGAAAAGAAAUGAAUGUUCAGAGGCCAUCAUGAUGUCUCUAAUGCCUGUAAUCCCAGAAGAUGUCAUGACGACAUAGGACCACUGCUAUAAAUCUGAGGUCACCCUAGGGCACAGGUAAGUUUCAAAAUAGCUUGGGAUACCUUGUUUCAAAACAAAAAAAGGGGUUGGGGAUUUAGCUUGCCUAGCAAGCGCAAGGCCCUGGGUUCGGUCCCUAGCUCCGAAAAAAAGAAAAAAGAAAAAAAAAAAGAAAAAAACAAAACAAAACAAAACAAAGUCACCUGGUAUCCAUUAAUUA